GACGAACGCUGGCGGCGUGCUUAACACAUGCAAGUCGAGCGAUGAAGCACCUUCGGGUGUGAAUUAGCGGCGAACGGGUGAGGAACACGUGAAGAAUCUGCCUUCAACUCUGGGAUAACUCCGGGAAACCGGGGCUAAUACCGGAUAUGAGCCUUGAUCGCAUGAUCGGGGCUGGAAAGUUUUUCGGUUGAAGAUGACUUCGCGGCCUAUCAGCUUGUUGGUGAGGUAAUGGCUCACCAAGGCGACGACGGGUAGCCGGCCUGAGAGGGCGACCGGCCACACUGGGACUGAGACACGGCCCAGACUCCUACGGGAGGCAGCAGUGGGGAAUAUUGGGCAAUGGAGGAAACUCUGACCCAGCGACGCCGCGUGAGGGAUGAAGGCCUUCGGUUGUAACCGUCUUCAGUAGGAAGAAGACGAAAGUGACGGUACCUACAGAAGAAGACACCGGCUAACUAUAGUGCCAGCAGCCG
rnacentral:rRNA from 1 species